UCUCCGUUGGUGAACCAGCGGAGGGAUCAUUACCGAGUUUACAACUCCCAAACCCACUGUGAACUUACCUGUCCUUGUUCCUUCGGCAGGCGGCCCCCGGGGGGGCUUCGCCGUAAGGCGCCUGCCGAGGGACAACUAAACUCUUGCUACUUAAGUGUCUUCUGAGCAACUAUAAAAAGUUACAACUUUCAACAACGGAUCUCUUGGUUCUG
rnacentral:misc_RNA from 1 species